GUUUCUAAGACUCCCUUGAACCUACCUUUUCUGAUUAUAGAUGCCAUGAGGGAAGUCUUGAAUAGGUCCAAGGCUCCUUUGCCUUAUGGCAUGGCCCUUACUAUGAUUUUCAGGGAGUCAAGAGUGAGUUUUAAGGGGGAGGUUGUCUAUAGAUUGUCAUAUACUGACACCUACAACAAUCACUCUCUUAGGCGCAUGGGUUUUGUGAGAGUUGAUGGCCGUUGGACCAAGGGACGAGCUGUAGCAGUUGAGGAGGAGAUUGAUGAGGAGGAGGAGCAAGCUGAGGGGGAGGG
rnacentral:lncRNA from 1 species